CAAAGAUUAAGCCAUGCAUGUCUAUGUUCAAACGGCUUUGAAUAGUGAAACCGCGAACGGCUCAUUACAACAGCUAUUAUCUACUUGACGAUGACAUCCUACUCGGAUAACUGUGGUAAUUCUAGAGCUAAUACGUGUAAUAAUGCUCCGAUACAUUUGACGAGCGCAUUUAUUGGACCAAAAUCAGCGGAGCUACGGCUCGUUAAUUGAUAACUCUGAAUAACUAUUGCCGAUCGCAUGGUCUAGUACCAGCGACGUGUCUAUCGAGUGUCUGCCUUAUCAACUGUCGAUGGUAGUUUAUGUGACUACCAUGGUUGUAACGGGUAACGGAGAAUAAGGGUUCGACUCCGGAGAGGAAGCCUGAGAAAUGGCUGCCACAUCCAAGGAAGGCAGCAGGCGCGCAAAUUACCCACUCUCAGUACGAGGAGGUAGUGACGAAAAAUAACGGGACCGUUCUCUAUGAGGCCGGUCACCGGAAUGAGCACAGUCUAAAUCCCUUAACGAGGAUCUAUGAGAGGGCAAGUCUGGUGCCAGCAGCCGCGGUAAUUCCAGCUCUCAAAGUGUAUAUCGUCAUUGCUGCGGUUAAAAAGCUCGUAGUUGGAUCUGCGCCGUAGAACUUGGUCCGCUCACUGAGUGUGAACUGAGCUUCUCGGCUAUUGUUGCUGGUUUUCCCUUUGUUGCCUUGAUCGGUUGCUGAGGGUGGCUAGCGAAUUUACCUUGAAAAAAUUAGAGUGCUUCAAACAGGCUUUCGCCUGCAUAUCUGUGCGUGGAAUAAUGGAACAGGAUUUCGGUCCUAUUUUGUUGGUUUUCUGAACCGAAAUAAUGGUUAAGAGGGACAGACGGGGGCAUUCGUAUCGCUGCGCGAGAGGUGAAAUUCUUGGACCGUAGCGAGACGUCCAACUGCGAAAGCAUUUGCCAAGAAUGUCUUCAUUAAUCAAGAACGAAAGUCAGAGGUUCGAAGGCGAUCAGAUACCGCCCUAGUUCUGACCGUAAACAAUGCCAACCAGCGAUUCGUCGGUGGUAAUUAUGCCUCGACGAGCAGCUUCCCGGAAACGAAAGUCUUCCGGUUCCGGGGGAAGUAUGGUUGCAAAGCUGAAACUUAAAGAAAUUGACGGAAGGGCACCACCAGGAGUGGAGCCUGCGGCUUAAUUUGACUCAACACGGGAAAACUCACCUGGUCAGGACACCGUGAGGAUUGACAGAUUGAGAGCUCUUUCUUGAUUCGGUGGUCGGUGGUGCAUGGCCGUUCUUAGUUGGUGGAGUGAUUUGUCUGGUUUAUUCCGAUAACGAACGAGACUCUGGCCUACUAAAUAGUACUCGUAUGGUUAUGUGCGGCGAACUUCUUAGAGGUAUAAGCGGUGCUCAGCCGCAUGAAAUUGAGCAAUAACAGGUCUGUGAUGCCCUUAGAUGUCGAGGGCUGCACGCGCGCUACACUGAAGAGAUCAGCGUGCAGUAACCAGUGUCGAAAGGUAUUGGUAACCAUUUGAAAAUUCUCCGUGUUUGGGACUGGGAAUUGCAAUUAUCUCCCAUGAACGAGGAAUUCCCAGUAAGUGUGAGUCAUCAGCUCGCGCUGAUUACGUCCCUGCCCUUUGUACACACCGCCCGUCGCUGCCCGGGACUGAGCCGCUUCGAGAAAAGCGGGGACCACUGUUUCGAGACCUUUCGGGGCGGAGAUUCUUGGUGGAAACCGCCUUAAUCGCAGUGGCUUGAACCGGGCAAAAGUCGUAACAAGGUUUCC
rnacentral:rRNA from 1 species